rnacentral:rRNA from 1 species
UGGGGAAUAUUGGACAAUGGGCGCAAGCCUGAUCCAGCCAUGCCGCGUGAGUGAUGAAGGCCCUAGGGUUGUAAAGCUCUUUUGUGCGGGAAGAUAAUGACGGUACCGCAAGAAUAAGCCCCGGCUAACUUCGUGCCAGCAGCCGCGGUAAUACGAAGGGGGCUAGCGUUGCUCGGAAUCACUGGGCGUAAAGGGUGCGUAGGCGGGUCUUUAAGUCAGGGGUGAAAUCCUGGAGCUCAACUCCAGAACUGCCUUUGAUACUGAGGAUCUUGAGUUCGGGAGAGGUGAGUGGAACUGCGAGUGUAGAGGUGAAAUUCGUAGAUAUUCGCAAGAACACCAGUGGCGAAGGCGGCUCACUGGCCCGAUACUGACGCUGAGGCACGAAAGCGUGGGGGGCAAACA